AUUAUAGUCCUAAAUGCCCUAAAGGUACCAGAUCCCUCCCGAUCUUGAAACCUAAGCAGGGUCAACCUUAGUUUGUACUUGGCUGAGGAAUCUCCAAGGAAUAUCAGGUGCUUUAGGC
rnacentral:rRNA from 1 species